GACGAACCGAGCGAACGUUGUUCGGAAUCACUGGGCUUAAAGGGCGCGUAGGCGGGCUGUCAAGUCUGGGGUGAAAUCCCGCGGCUCAACCGUGGAACUGCCUCAAAUACUGACGGUCUCGAGGGAGGUAGGGGCGAGCGGAACUGAUGGUGGAGCGGUGAAAUGCGUUGAUAUCAUCAGGAACUCCGGUGGCGAAGGCGGCUCGCUGGACCUCUUCUGACGCUGAGGCGCGAAAGCCAGGGGAGCAAACGGG
rnacentral:rRNA from 1 species